rnacentral:lncRNA from 1 species
CUGAUGUUUUCCUUUUCUUAGUUUUCUUAUUUAAGGUUGUUCAAUAUAGAUAGAUCAAACCUCUCGAAAUAGUACUCCUGCAGAACAGUACUAAGACGUAAUGAUCAGUACAAUCCUAAUGACGUUGCUCCUUUAGCCUGUCUGCCUUAUGUAUUUGCAAUGUUGACUGUAUUUAUAAUCACUUCUCUCAGCUGAAGGAGACAGUAAUUAUUAGUACUGUAUUGGCUGUUUACCAGGUUUUCCCUAACAGCUGUGUCUAUUGCUGUAAUAACCUACUUUUGAGCUGAGGAUUUUGCAUUCAUUUAGGCGAGCUCAUUAUCUUUCACUAGCUAUGUUUCAUAAAGAAAAUGGUGCUUUCGUACUUCUAAGUACUGAUACAACACUUUUGAGCUGACUACACUGCAAAAGGAAGGUCAAUGCAAUCAUCAGGGACUCAGAUAUUUUUGAAGAGAGACGUACCCCACACAGAGUAUGUAUCUUGUAAGGAAAUGGGAUUGUGUUGUUACAGGACAGGGUCCUUUAACAUGCUAGCGGAGAACCAAUAUGGUUUUAACAUCCUAGGACAUGCUGCUGCCAAUUUCUUUUUUCUCCCAGAAGGUGAGAACAGGCAUCCACCACGUCCAGCUCUUCCCGUGCUGACAGCUGUCAUCAUCCUCCUCUCUUCCGCGGCAUGGCCCUGCCAAGGAAUUGUGUGGAAGGCCAGCUACAUCCAGGCAAACACGGGAAAUUAUUCAAAGGAGCAGACUUUGAAGUCCCUGUGGAAGCUCUUACCACCACCUAAACUGCUGGUCUUUUUCACAGUAAAGAUGGGAAUCUCUUGGAACGAGCAAACAUCUGGAAACCAUUGCAUGGACAGGAUGAACUUUUGGAGCUGUGUUUUCACCAGUGCAGCAUCGAUUUUACUAGGAUCAAAAUAAAUAUUACUUUAGCUUGCAACUGCUAAUUAUAUCAACAUAAAAUUAAUUUAUAGUGAUAAUCACAGUCCUAAUGCUGUGCUGCUGCCAACCGUAACAACUGAUGCUUUGAGACAUCAUGUAAACCCAGCCAUUAGCAAUCAAGUAAAUGCUUCCAUUACACGUUACUGAUACUGGCUAAAGAACUUUUUAAUUGACUUCUUACAAUUUAUGGCAGCUGGUACAGACUGCACGCUCAAAUUCAGGAUUCCUUUUCAUAUUUUCUAUCUGCUGCUGUUUAGAUAGAUGCCAGUCUUACAUUACAUACUGUAACAUUACAUGCUUGAAAUUGAAAAGAUUGGGAUUGUUUAGCUUGGAAAGGAGAGGGCUCAAGAUAAAAGCUUAUGAAAGAUGAACAGUAUAGAAAAAGUGGAAUAGGAGCAUCUGUUCCUCAUCCAAUAAAAUAAAAAUAAUGAAAUAGGCA